UUCAUAGAGUGUAAAGGCAUAAGGGAGCUUGACUGCGAGACCUACAAGUCGAGCAGGGUCGAAAGACGGACUUAGUGAUCCGGUGGUUCCGCAUGGAAGGGCCAUCGCUCAACGGAUAAAAGCUACCCCGGGGAUAACAGGCUUAUCUCCCCCAAGAGUUCACAUCGACGGGGAGGUUUGGCACCUCGAUGUCGGCUCAUCGCAUCCUGGGGCUGUAGUCGGUCCCAAGGGUUGGGCUGUUCGCCCAUUAAAGCGGUACGCGAGCUGGGUUCAGAACGUCGUGAGACAGUUCGGUCCCUAUCCGUCGUGGGCGUAGGAAAUUUGAGAGGAGCUGUCCUUAGUACGAGAGGACCGGGAUGGACAUACCUCUGGUGUACCAGUUGUCGUGCCAACGGCAUAGCUGGGUAGCUAUGUGUGGACGGGAUAAGUGCUGAAAGCAUCUAAGCAUGAAGCCC
rnacentral:rRNA from 1 species